rnacentral:rRNA from 1 species
ACCUGGCUCACGCCGGUUUAAACUCAGAUCAUGUAAAAUUUUAAAGGUCGAACAGACCUAAACCUAUUAGCUUCUACACCAAUAUUAUAUUUUAAUCCAACAUCGAGGUCGCAAUCUUUUUUUUCGAUAAGAACUCUAAAAAAAAUAACGCUGUUAUCCCUAAGGUAAUUUCAUCUUUUAAUCCAAAUCUUGGGAUCACCCACUCAUAAAUUAAUGUUUCCUUUUAAAAAAAGUUUUGCCAAUUUUUUUAUCACCCCAACAAAAUACUUAAAAAUACUUCAUUGAUUCCUAAAACCUUAAAUAUUUUUAAAUAUAAAACUCUAUAGGGUCUUCUCGUCUUCUACAAAAAUUUAAGCUUUUUAACUUAAAAAUAAAAUUCUAAUAAAAUCUUACAGAGACAGAUAUUUUCUCAUCAAACCUUUCAUACAAGCUUCCAUUUAAGAAACUAGUGAUUAUGCUACCUUUGCACAGUCAAAAUACUGCGGCCAUUUAACUCCUCAUUGGGCAGGUAA